rnacentral:lncRNA from 1 species
CCGAACAAAAGAAGUACAAAAUUUAUACUCUGAAAACUACAAAACUUGGUUGAAAGAAAGUAGAGAAGACCAAAAUAAAUGGAAAGGCACCCUCAAUCCGCGGACCUGGACUUCAUGUAGUGGAGAUGGCAGCACUCUCAAAAUGCAUCCACAGAUUCAACGCAACUCCUAUCAAAAUCUCACUUGGCUCCUCUGCAGACACUGAAAAGCUUAUCCUAAAAAUUCACAUGGAAAUUUGAGGGACCCAGAAUAGCCAAAACAAUCUUGAAAAAGAAGAACAAAGUUGGAGAACUCACACUUCCCAAUUUCAAAGCUUACUACAAGGCUGCCAUGAGGAGGUAAGAAUAGACACACGGGGCCAUGGGACAGAACUGAGGGCUGGAAAGAAGCUCCCAGCUACAGGGAGCAGGUGUCCACACGGUGCCAAAACAAUUACACAGGGAGAGAGCUGUCUUUUUAACAAAUGACGCUGGGACAGAGAAAUACCCACGUACAAAAGAAAGAAGUCAGGCCGGGCGUGGUGGCUCACAGCGUGGUGGUUCACGUAAUCCCAGCACUUUGGGAGGCUGAGCCGGGCAGAUCACCUGAGGUCAGGAGUUCAAGAUCAGCCUGGCCAACAGAAUGAAACCCUGUCUCUACUAAAAAUUAGCUAGGCGUGGUGGUGCGUGCCUAUAGUCCCAGCUACUUGUGAGGCUGAGGCAGGAGAAUCGCUUGAACCCGGGAGGCAGAGGUUGCAGUGAGCCGAGAUCACGCCACUGCACUUCAGUCUGGGCCACAGAGCAAGACUCUGUCCCCCACCCACCCAUUAAAAAAAAGAGAGAAUUAAAAUUUUACCAGCCUGGACAACCACAGUGAUACCCUGUCUCUACAAAAAUAAAAAUACACGGUGGCUCACACCUGUGAUCCCAGAACUUUGGGAAGCCAAGGUACAGAUUGCACCUACAGUGCAGGACACGGGGCUUUACGGACAGUGCGGGGCUGCUGAGGGCGGGCCGGGGACCGGAUGGGGACCAGGAGGGUGACCGCUGAACGGUACAGGGUUUCUUUCGAAGAGAUGAAAAUGUUCUGAAAUUGGCUGUGGUGAUGGCGGCGGGUUUGUCAAUACCACGCAGGACCCCUGAGGUGUACUCUUAAAAUGGGUGAGUUGCGUGGCAGGCGAGUAGUAUCUCGACAGAACUGUUGCCACAGAAGAAAAACCAAAACCCAAACCCACCUCCAACCGCGGGGCCGCUGCGGGAAAGGGCAGCUCAGCGCGCGCUCCACGCCCCUUUCUCCCGGGGCUGCUCCCACAGCCCCUGCCGCCCGUGCGCUUCCCUCGCGGGAUCAUCGUCCCCACGCACCGGGUGCUCACUCCUGGGUCCACCCGGGGCUCGCCCACGGGCCCUCUGCAGGCAGCCAGGGGCUGUCCCGGGUCGCUCUGGAGCGCUGGGGCUAGGGGUGCGGAUUCCCAGGGAACGCGCCGGGUGGUCCCUGGCGAUCCCCGGGAAGGCGGCCCCGCGUCCCGCGCAGCCGGGUCCAGCUGCAGCCAGGGAGGGCGGGGGGAGGGCGUGGAGGGGCGGAGGCGGCCGAGGUCCCGGCUCCUCGCAGCCUACGAAGCCCACGGCGUUGCCAUGACGACGCCCGUGAGCCGCCCGACGCUUCCCGCGCCGCUGCCCGGGGAAGGGCUGGGCUGGGCUGGGCUGGGCUGGGCGGGGUCCCGGGGCGCCCCUCCUUCCAGAAGCGUCCUUACCCGAGGUUGGGUGGGCGAGACCCACCCCCGGGUAGAGAGCGGAGGCCAGGCAGGGAUAUCUCGGGUCCCACGGUCCCUCCCGCAGGUCCAAGGGCAGCGCCGCUGAAAUAACGGGAACGCCCACCUCCUCCCCCAAGAACCCCCGCAGAGCGCCUGAGGCCUCCGGAGGCGGGUGUCUGAGAAAGGCGCAGCUCAGGGUCACCGGAGAGAGAAAAUUCCGCUCACAGCCCCGUGGCAAUGUCCCUAGCAACUCCGCUCACAGCCAGCGAAAAGCAGCCAGACGUGCGUCAACCAAUAGCAAGGGUGGCACCGGGAUUAUUACCCAGCAGGGAAAAGGGACAAGCAUUUGGCACUUGACAGCUUCAUGAGGACAAAGACUUUGUGCAGAGAGAAAGGCGCCAGAAAGGUGACCCAUG